rnacentral:rRNA from 1 species
UACAGAGGGUGCGAGCGUUGUUCGGAAUUAUUGGGCGUAAAGGGCGCGUAGGCGGUGAGAUGCGUCUGUUGUGAAAUCGCUCGGCUCAACUGGGCGGGGUCAGCGGAUACGGUCUCACUUGAGCAAGCUAGGGGGCAAUGGAAUUCCCGGUGUAGUGGUGGAAUGCGUAGAGAUCGGAAAGAACACCAACGGCGAAAGCACUCUGCUGGGCCGACACUGACACUGAGAGACGAAAGCUAGGGGAGCGAAUGGG